GGAGAGAUGGCCGAGCGGUUUAAGGCGGUAGUCUUGAAAACUACUAUAGUGGCAACACUAUCGGGGGUUCAAAUCCCUCUCUCUCCG
rnacentral:tRNA from 1 species